UGCUGAUGUUCCAUUGACCAAGCAAGUCACAUGACCAUGCUGAGAGUGAAUGGGAGCCGUUAGGGCAACAGUGUACCACAGUGGUCACACCAACUUGUAUUCCCACCAGCAAUACGGGUGUUCCUGUUACUCCAUAGCCUCCCCAAUACUUUAUAGUUUCUGGUUUUAGUGGUUAUGCCAUUUUCAAGCGAGUCCAGCGUGUGCAUACUGUUUUCUUGUUGUGAUUUGAUUUUUAUUUUAAUGUCAAUGAAUGAUGUUGAAUAACUUUUUAGAUACAGUGAAACCUUGGACUGUGAGUAACCUGUUAUGUGAGUGUUCCGCAAGAUGAGCCAACAUUUCUAAUAAAUAUUAACUUGGCCAAAGGGCAAUGUCUUGAAAUAUGAGUAGUAUGUGAUGCCAAACGUCAUACAAUCACAACUGGGCCAAUGAUUCUUCUCUCUCUCUCUCUCUCUCUCUCUCUCUCACUGCGGGAUUGUGGGUGAUAGUCUCCCAUGCUUGGAUGCUCAGUCUCGGGCCUUGGCAUUUGGCAGAUUCAGUGAUUUUUCAGAAUGUUGGAAAGUGCCCAUGACUGGUGCUAACUUAUUUUUUGUCACUUCAAAGCACCUAGGGACAGUCCUUUGCUUUUCAUAGAAGACUGAGCUUAGGAAUGCUUUGCUUCAUUCUAGGUCAAGCUAUCUGCAGAUACAGACCUUUUCCUGUUGCCUUAUUGCCAGUUAUAUUAAAUAGAGUAUAUGACAAGAGUUUAUUAAUACAGUACUGUAGUCAACUUCUGUUAGUGACAGUGAAAGUCGUCCUACACAAUAACCCUCCUCUCUGUCGUCUCCCUCAUGCCAACCAUGAAGGUUUUCAAAGGGCUUUAUUUUUGGACUCGAGUGCGGUAAUUGAAGAUUUCUGCUUCUGGCUAUGAUGGAUUAGUUUGCAGCUGACCAAACUGAAAGCCAAGAACACAAGAAACGGUAAAUACAAUGAGAACACAUUUUUGAAGGUACCAGAGAGUUAUCAAGGCAGUUAGAACAUGUACAGCCAAGAACCUGGAGAGAAGGAAAACACAUUGGAGGUAAGCCCAACACUCUACAUGACAUUUUUUUUUUUUGGUCAAGGCAUUUGUAGAUUGUUAAACAGCAUGGAGCAGGAUGUAGAAAAGCUGAGCAGAAAGUAGCAGGUAAGCAGUGUGAGUGAUAGUCUUACAGGUGUGAGGGCCAAAGACUGGGGAUCAGAUCAUUUACAGCAGCCCAGACUGGAGGGGCCAAUCCCUGCAGUGAAGGGAAGAGAAGCAGAGGAGAUCUAGCUCUGCUCCCAUUUUCAUCUCAGAGUUGUUUGUCACUGAAAAGGGGUCACGGUGCAAGAGGUGAAGUAGAGAUUGGCCGCUUCCAAUGUGUGAGAAGAUACUCGGAACUUUCUGCAGAUUCACAGCAUGAGAAAUUGAAAAACUAGAAUCUAGAUUCUAGAUCUAGAAUCUAGAAACUAGAAUCUUAGAUCCCCUAAGGAAGGGAUCCUGAUAACCAACCUGUAAGAAAAGUAACCAGAACAUAGACCAGACCUUGCAAACCCUAACCCCACCCUUGAACCUUUGUGUUCCUUGUACCUUGAACCUGCUUGUGUAAGGGGUUACCUGGAUUAGCUACGUGCAAGAAUUUAAAACCUAGGCCCCUGGAGGAAUAGAGCAUCAGCUAGAGGCUGUAAAUUUUUUCAUGCAAAAUGGACGGCAUUUAAUGAAAAAAAAUAAGAGGUAAACAAGAACUAGGUCCAAGAAAAUAACAGUGUUAGAAACCAAGCCAGUGAUCAUCCAUAUUUUGAAGUAUGUAGACGAGAAGUGAUUUAUAUCAAGAGGAGAGAUAAGUUAGAGGUUUCCACAGAGAACUGGAGUCCAUACAAAAUCCCUUCAUGAUUUCAGAGUAGACAAAGUUUUCUUAAACUAGAUGUUAAAAGCAAUAAUUGCAAUGUCUCCUAAGUCCAUCCAUGUUGUUGCAAAUGGCAGGAUCUCCUUUUUUUAAAGGCUGAAUAAUAUUCGUGUGUGUGUGUGUGUGUGUGAAGCUUUCUUUAUCCAUUCAUCUGUUGACAGACACUUUGAUGGUUUUCAAAUCUUGGCUAUUGUAAAUACCAAACAGAUAAAAGCAGAGAGUAGAAGGGUUAUUACCAGGGGUGGAGGGGUGGGGUAAAUGGACAGAAGGGAAGAUGUUGGUCAAAGGGUACAAACCAGUUGUUAUGUAGGAUGAGAAAGUAUAGAGCUCUAAUGUACAGCAUGAAGACUAUAGUUAAGAUAACUGAAUAUUGGAGGCGCCUGGGUGGCUCUGUCUGUUAAAUGUCCGACUUCAGCUCAGGUCAUGAUCUCACAGCUUGUGAGUUCGCGUUCUGUGUCGGGCUCUGUGCUGACAGCUCAGAGCCUGGAGCCUGCUUGGAUUCUGUGUCUCCCUCUCUCUCUUCCUCUCCCCUGCUUGUGCUCUGUUUCUUUAAAAUGAUUAAAUGUUAAAAAAAAUUUUUUAAUUAAAAAAAAAAAGAAAACUGAAUACUGGAGGUGCCUAAGGGCUCAGUUAAGUGUCAGACUUCGGCUCAGGUCAUGAUCUCGCGGUUCUGAGUUUCAGCCCCGCAGUGGGUUCUGCACUGGGUUGCGGAGUCUGCUUGGGAUUCUCUCUGUCACCCUUUCUGUCUCUGCCCCUUCCCCACUUGUGCGCUCUCUCUCUCUCGCGCGCGCGCGCGCACGCUCUCUCAGAAAUAAGUAAACCUAAAACAACAACAAAAAAGAAUACUGAACACUAGAAAUUUUCUAAAAGAUUGUUUUCAGGUGCUCUUAUCACACACACACAAAAAUGGUCACUGAGUGAGAUGAUAAUUAGCUUGAAUGUAAUAAUCAUUUCACUGUAUAUGUCAAAACAUCAUGUUAUAUAUCUUAAAUAUAUACAGUGAUGAAUACAGUAUCAUUUUGAGAAUAAAAACAGUAACCAUACAGGAAGAGUUUGACA
ensembl:lncRNA